UUUUUUUUUUUUUUUUUUUUUUGAGACAGGGUUUCUCUGUGUAGCCUGGCUGUCCUGGAACUCAGUCUGUACACCAGGAUGGCCUCGAACUCAUAAAUCUGCCUGUCUCUGCCUCCCGAGUGCUGGGAUUAAAGGCAUGUGCCACCAACACCCAGCUGGACAUCUAUUACCUGCUCCUAGUCUGCCCCCAAAAGGCCAGAGAUGACAACGGAGCCCUCUUUUCUGGAAUCCGGUGUGUUCCUGUGGUCGACAGACUCAUGAGCCUGCCUCCCUUAAGACUGCACUGGUUGGUUUGUGAUCUCUGUGAUCAAAGUAAUAUUAUGGUGUCAAGGUGUCCCUGGUUUCUCAAUAGCCCCAGGCCAUCUCAGCAAGGCUGCCAACAGGCUGCUGACACUGGACAUUCUUCAACCUCUGGUGAUUCCGAAGCUGUGAAAGCUCAAGGGACAGCUGGGAGAGUGCACUGUGCCUACGAAGGGGCUGCUGGUCAUUUCUUGGGCCUGUUAGGAUUUCUCAAGAAAAAGGCUGGUAGGCAUCUUCAAACCUCAGUUCCCUCUGCAGAGGUAAGAGCUAUCAGAACCUCCCUCCUGGGCUUACUGAGGGGGAGGGGGUCGUUGCACAAGUCUAGCACAGAGCCUGCCACCUGGCAGCUUAGAGAUAAAUUGUGCCCAUUUUUAUAAACCCCAUCUUAAAACCAAAAGCCCCAAAGGGAGGAAACCACUCCGGGAAAGC
rnacentral:lncRNA from 1 species